rnacentral:rRNA from 1 species
UACGUAGGUGGCAAGCGAUACUCGGAAUCACUAGGCGUAAAGCGCAGGUAGGCGGUUCAGUAAGUCUUUUGUGAAAGCUCCCGGCUCAACUGGGAGAGGCCAAGGGAAACUACUGGACUAGAGUGUGGUAGGGGAUACUGGAAUUCCUGGUGUAGCGGUGAAAUGCGUAGAUAUCUGGAGGAACACCGGUGGCGAAGGCGGCGUUCUGGACUGCAACUGACACUGAGGAACGAAAGCCAGGGGAGCAAACGGG